GCCUAAAGCGUCCGUAGCCGGCUCUGUAAGUUUUCGGUUAAAUCUGUAUGCUCAACAUAUAGGCUGCCGGGAAUACUGCAAAGCUAGGGAGUGGGAGAGGUAGACGGCACUCCGUAGGAAGGGGUAAAAUCCUUUGAUCUAUGGAUGACCACCUGUGGCGAAGGCGGUCUACCAGAACACGUUCGACGGUGAGGGAUGAAAGCUGGGGGAGCAAACCGGAUUAGAUACCCGGGUAGUCCCAGCUGUAAACUAUGCAAACUCAGUGAUGCAUUGGCUUGUGGCCAGUGCAGUGCCGCAGGGAAGCCGUUAAGUUUGCCGCCUGGGAAGUACGUACGCAAGUAUGAAACUUAAAGGAAUUGGCGGGGGAGCACCACAAGGGGUGAAGCCUGCGGUUCAAUUGGAGUCAACGCCAGAAAUCUUACCCGAAGAGACAGCAGAAUGAAGGUCAAGCUGGAGACUUUACCAGACAAGCUGAGAAGUGGUGCAUGGCCGUCGCCAGCUCGUGCCGUGAGAUGUCCUGUUAAGUCAGGUAACGAGCGAGAUCCCUGCCUCUAGUUGCCACCAUUACUCUCGGGAGUAGUGGGGCGAAUUAGCGGGACUGCCGUAGUUAAUACGGAGGAAGGAGAGGGCCACGGCAGGUCAGUAUGCCCCGAA
rnacentral:rRNA from 1 species